rnacentral:misc_RNA from 1 species
GAUGAAGAACGCAGCGAACGUGCGAAACGUAAUGUGAAUUGCAGAAUUCAGUGAAUCAUCGAAUCUUUGAACGCACAUUGCGCCCUUCGGUAUUCCGUAGGGCAUGCCUGUUCGAGCGUCAUUUAAACCUUCAAGCUCUGCUUGGUGUUGGGUGUCUGUCUCGCCUCCGUGCGUGGACUCGCCUUAAAAUCAUUGGCAGCCGGUAGUUUGGCUUCGUGCGCAGCAGAAUACGCGCGUGAGACUGGGCUGUCGGCUUUCCACAAGUCUCUUUUUAGUUUGACCUCGGAUCAGGUAGGGAUACCCGCUGAACUUAAGCAUAUCAAUAAGCGGAGGA